AGUCACUGACAUUAGAUACCCGGGUAGUCCCAGCCGUAAACAAUGUGCGUUAGGUGUGUCGGUAACCACGUGUUACUGAUGCGCCGAAGAGAAAUCGUGAAACGCACCACCUGGGAAGUACGGUCGCAAGGCUGAAACUUAAAGGAAUUGGCGGGGAGCACCACAACAGGUGGAGCCUGCGGUUUAAUUGGAUUCAACGCCGGACAUCUCACCGGAUAAGACAGCUGAAUGGUUGUCAAUCUGAAGGUUUUACAUGACUAGCUG
rnacentral:rRNA from 1 species